CCCAGGUAUUUGUAGCUGUCUACGUAUUCUAAGUCAGAACCAUCCAGAGUAGUGAUGUUGGACGGGGACAUCUGGAGAGAGGAGAGACAUCUGGAGAGAGGAGAGACAUCUGGAGAGAGGAGAGACAUCUGGAGAGAGGAGAGACAUCUGGAGAGAGGAGACACAUCUGGAGAGAGGAGAGACAUCUGGAGAGAGGAGAGACAUCUAGAGAGAGGAGAGACAUCUGGAGAGAGGAGAGACAUCUGGAGAGAGGAGAGACAUCUGGAGAGAGGAGAGACAUCUGGAGAGAGGAGAGACAUCUGGAGAGAGGAGAGACAUCUGGAGAGAGGAGAGACAUCUGGAGAGAGGAGAGACAUCUGGAGAGAGGAGAGACAUCUGGAGACAAGAAUCACACCUCUCUCUCCUCCCUCAUUUUAUCUCCUCCCUCCAUCCCUCUCUCCUAAAACUGCCCUUGGAUGGAGGCCAACUUUCACUGCGGCCAAGAACAGUCCCAGCACCACCGAGAACAGUCCCAGCACCACCGAGAACAGUCCCAGCACCACCGAGAACAGUCCCAGCACCACCGAGAACAGUCCCAGCCUACCGAGAACAGUCCCAGCACCACCGAGAACCGUUUUCAGGCUAGCGCCACCGAGAACAGUUUUCAGGCUAGCGCCACCAAGAACAGUUUUCAGGCUAGCGCCACCGCGAUAACAGUUUUCAGGCUAGCACCACCGAGAACAGUUUUCAGGCUAGCACCACCGAGAACAGUUUUCAGGCUAGCGCCACCGCGAUAACAGUUUUCAGGCUAGCACCACCGAGAACAGUUUUCAGGCUAGCACCACCGAGAACAGUUUUCAGGCUAGCGCCACCGCGAUAACAGUUUUCAGGCUAGCACCACCGAGAACAGUUUUCAGGCUAGCACCACCGAGAACAGUUUUCAGGCUAGCACCACCGAGAACGGUUUUCAGGCUAGCACCACCGAGAACAGUUUUCAGGCUAGCACCACCGAGAACAGUUUUCAGGCUAGCGCCACCGAGAUAACGGUUUUCAGGAAGUGAGAAGUAUACAAGGUGAUGGGUGUCCUCUCCCUCUCCUUCUUACUUUCCUCUCCCUCUCAUGUCCGUCUCUCUGUCAUCCUCCUGUCCUCUCCUUCUCAUGUCCGUCUCUCUGUCAUCCUCCUGUCCACUCCUUCUCCUGUCCUUCCCUCUGUCAUCCUCCUGUCCUCUCCCUCUCCUGUCCUUCUCUCUGUCAUCCUCCUGUCCUCUCCCUCUCCUCUCUGUCAUCCUCCUCUCUCCUGUCCCCCUCCCCCUCCUACCCCUCUUCUCCCACAUCAAAGGAUUUCAGGUGGAACGCCACACCUCUCCCUGUUUCAGGUGGAAGGCCACACCUCUCCCUGUUUCAGGUGGAAGGCCACACCUCUCACUGUUUCAGGUGGAAGACCACACCUCUCACUGUUUCAGGUGGAAGGCCACACCUCUCACUGAGGUGGAAGACAGAGGAACUAGAAUGUGUAGUGGUAGAGAGGUGGGAGAAAGAGGAAUUAGAAUCUAAUCAGUGUGUCUGAUGAAGAAGAGAGAAGAGGAUAUCCCACAGCCAGGACAACUCUAGUCAGUUUGUCUGAUGAAGAGGACAUCCCACAGCCAGGACAACUCUAAUCAGUUUGUCUGAUGAAGAAGAGAGAAGAGGACAUCCCACAGCCAGGACAACUCUAAUCAGAGUGUCUGAUGAAGAGGACAUCCCACAGCCAGGACAACUCUAAUCAGCGUGUCUGAUGAAGAGGACAUCCCACAGCCAGGACAACUCUAAUCAGUUUGUCUGAUGAGGAAGAGGACAUCCCACAGCCAGGACGACUCUAAUAAUAUCAAAUCAAAUCAAAUCAAAUUUAUUUAUAUAGCCCUUCGUACAUCAGCUGAUAUCUCAAAGUGCUGUACAGAAACCCAGCCUAAAACCCAAAACAGCAAGCAAUGCAGGUGUAGAAGCACGGUGGCUAGGAAAAACUCCCUA
ensembl:lncRNA